GAGCGAACGCUGGCGGCAGGCUUAACACAUGCAAGUCGAGCGGGCAUCUUCGGAUGUCAGCGGCAGACGGGUGAGUAACACGUGGGAACGUACCCUUCGGUUCGGAACAACUCUGGGAAACUGGAGCUAAUACCGGAUACGCCCUUAUGGGGAAAGGUUUACUGCCGAAGGAUCGGCCCGCGUCUGAUUAGCUAGUUGGUGGGGUAACGGCCUACCAAGGCGACGAUCAGUAGCUGGUCUGAGAGGAUGAUCAGCCACACUGGGACUGAGACACGGCCCAGACUCCUACGGGAGGCAGCAGUGGGGAAUAUUGGACAAUGGGCGCAAGCCUGAUCCAGCCAUGCCGCGUGAGUGAUGAAGGCCUUAGGGUUGUAAAGCUCUUUUGUCCGGGACGAUAAUGACGGUACCGGAAGAAUAAGCCCCGGCUAACUUCGUG
rnacentral:rRNA from 1 species